rnacentral:rRNA from 1 species
UGUUUCGGCUAGGGGGCCAUCCCGGCUUACCAACCCGAUGCAAACUGCGAAUACCGGAGAAUGUUAUCACGGGAGACACACGGCGGGUGCUAACGUCCGUCGUGAAGAGGGAAACAACCCAGACCGCCAGCUAAGGUCCCAAAGUCAUGGUUAAGUGGGAAACGAUGUGGGAAGGCCCAGACAGCCAGGAUGUUGGCUUAGAAGCAGCCAUCAUUUAAAGAAAGCGUAAUAGCUCACUGGUCGAGUCGGCCUGCGCGGAAGAUGUAACGGGGCUAAACCAUGC